CCCCUCUCAGGGUUGAACCUGGAGCGUUUCCAAUACUCUACCAGUCUCGACUAUGGGAGGGAGAGUCAAGCAGAGGCAUACCCAUUCCAUUCCUAGCUUAAGCAGUGGCUAGAGAGUGAAAGGCAAUCUGCUACAAGU